GACAGGGGUCUCGAGCGUUAAUCGGAAUUACUGGGCGUAAAGCGUGCGCAGGCGGUUGUGCAAGACCGAUGUGAAAUCCCCGGGCUUAACCUGGGAAUGGCAUUGGUGACUGCACGGCUAGAGUGUGUCAGAGGGGGGUAGAAUUCCACGUGUAGCAGUGAAAUGCGUAGAGAUGUGGAGGAAUACCGAUGGCGAAGGCAGCCCCCUGGGAUAACACUGACGCUCAUGCACGAAAGCGUGGGGAGCAAACAGG
rnacentral:rRNA from 1 species